rnacentral:rRNA from 1 species
GAGUUUGAUCAUGGCUCAGGAUGAACGCUAGCGGCAGGCUUAAUACAUGCAAGUCGAGGGGCAGCAGCUUUAUAGCAAUAUAGAGGCUGGCGACCGGCAAACGGGUGCGGAACACGUACACAACCCUCCUUGAAUAGGGGGAUAGCCCAUAGAAAUGUGGAUUAAUACCCCGUAAUAUAGCGGUGUGGCAUCACACUGUUAUUAUAGUUUCGGCGAUUCGAGAUGGGUGUGCGGCUGAUUAGGUAGUUGGCGGGGUAAAGGCCCACCAAGCCUUCGAUCAGUAGCUGAUGUGAGAGCAUGAUCAGCCACACGGGCACUGAGACACGGGCCCGACUCCUACGGGAGGCAGCAGUAAGGAAUAUUGGUCAAUGGACGCAAGUCUGAACCAGCCAUGCCGCGUGAAGGAUGAAGGUCCUCUGGAUUGUAAACUUCUUUUAUAGGGGGCGAAAAAAGGUCUUUCUAGAUCACUUGACAGUACCCUAUGAAUAAGCACCGGCUAACUCCGUGCCAGCAGCCGCGGUAAUACGGAGGGUGCAAGCGUUAUCCGGAUCCACUGGGUUUAAAGGGUGCGUAGGCGGGUAGGUAAGUCAGAGGUGAAAUCCUGGAGCUUAACUCCAGAACUGCCUUUGAUACUAUCUAUCUUGAAUAUGGUGGAGGUAAGCGGAAUAUGUCAUGUAGCGGUGAAAAUGCAUAGAUAUGACAUAGAACACCUAUUGCGAAGGCARCUUACUACGCCUAUAUUGACGCUGAGGCACRAAAGCKUGGGGAUCAAAMMGGAUUWAAUACCCUGGUAGUCCASGCCCUAACGAUGAUUACUUGACGUAKGCRAUACACACAUGCGCYGAGCSAAARCMUU